CUACCAUGCCUCUUAUUCUCACUUGUUCCUUCUUCUGUUCAGUUUUUCUCAACCUCGGCUCCUUGCUCCCAUAGCUUCAAUGGCGGAGAUUAACCUCCUCUAACCUCAAUAUCUUUCUCUAAUCUUAUCUUAAUUCGUGUGAUUUUCUGAUCUGGGUCUCCAUUAUUUUUGGCUCAGAUCAUCGUUUUCAUUGCUUACUAGUCUCUGCAAGUCCUACUCUUCAAACCAUUGACAGGAACCAAGUUUUCUGAUAACUGGGGCUUUAGUGGCUUCUUGAUUGGUAUUCUCAGAUUCUGAGAAAUGGGUUUCGCACGGAAUGGCUUUUUCUUAUGAGAAAUCUUCUUUAGUUGUUUGAGUUUUUCUUUGACGGACUCUCCAAUUAUGGGCAGAGGUAGAGGAAAGGGGAAGAAACAGACUGUUAUUGCUACUCGUGAUGAUCCAGGAAGCGGUGAGGACGAAAAGAUCCCAGCAUACAAGAGAAGAGGAAGGCCACAGAAACCAGUGAAGGAUGAUGUUGAAGAAGAAGAAGAAGCUGAGAAGGUGGCAAUAGAAGAAGAUGGUGAGAAUGAAAAAGGGCCUAUCACAAGCAAAGAUGCAAAAAAUCAGGCUACAACCGAGAACGGAAGGAAGAGGAAAAGAUCCUUACAGACCAAAGAGAACUCAGAUUCAGUCAAAGAGGAGAAUGGCACUGAAACUAAAUCUAACAACAAUGAUCUAAAGUCUGUUGGAUUUCGACAAAAUGGGAGCAGGAGGAAAAACAAGCCUCGGCGAGCUGCUGAAGCUGGUGUUGAGUGCAAAUGAGCUUCUGGUUAGCUGGUGCGAUGCGUUUCUACCUUCUUUCCCAUCGCCAGAUCAGUUACUAGUAUGGAAGCAAGGCUUUGUUGGUUCAUAAAUGUCUUCUUUUUUUUAUAUGUUUUGCCUUUCAUAAUUUCUGAAUUUUAUUUCUUGCAAAUGGAUGGUUUUAAUUGGGAGAUUUGGAACAGGUUAUACCGCUUAUAAUCUUCCAUAAGCUACUUCUACUAUUAUGCAUUUCAUCACAAGUAAACCGAAGCAUUUUUCCCCUACCCAGCAAAACUUCUCCCACUACAUCCAUUUAUGUUGCUCUCAGUUUGGCAUAAAAUUAGCCAUCUCCAUUCUUACAUUAACAAUCAUAUUUUCUUUUUCUUUCCUUGGGAAGUUUUUAUAGUUGAGGCAGAUGAAUUUAUACAAGCUCAUUCGGGGGCAUCCACCAAAGUGGUGAUAAAAUAAUAGGCAAUUACUAAUAUUUAUGAAAUCAGAGAAUGAAUGCUGGAUGCAGGCUGGGGAACAAAGAAUGAAGUUGAAAUUGGAUAGAAAAGUGCCUUGUUGAAUACAAGCCUUCACUGGAGUUAUGCGUGGCCAAAUUUGUUGGAUAUAUCACUGAUGAUAUUUAUGAUCAUUUGAUAUUUAGACUCUUUUCAUGCACUGAUUACUCAAGAGGCUCUAAUACUUCAACCAAAGAAUUCAUGUAGGCAGAAUGAGUAAAUGGAUUCUGCAAUAUUUACUAUGUGAUCCUUAUCUCCAUUAAAGACACAUAUUUUCUGUUCCUUACUUGAAAGGGAAAUGAUAGUGUUGCAGAUCAGUGACUGUGGGACACAUUGAGCAUUGAUUUUGCAAUGGAGAGACUAUUUGAUCUCAUCCAUAGCACCAAACUGUCUUAAAACUUCUUAGAAGUGAAAUGAGUUGAGCUGGAAAACAGGACCUGCUGUGCAUUUGCUUUCCAAAAUGGAGUAAAGUUACACGUACAGUUGAGCUGGACUCUUAUAAUCUUACUGUAAUUUGAGAUCAAGCAUCUUAUAGGAACAUUGGGGGGAGAAAUCUGCUGCUUCUUCAUGUAAUGCUCAACAUCUCAUGCAUUUGGUCAUCAAGAAUUGAUGUUCAUAUUCCUCCAUUGUGUGCCCUUUUUGUUGUUCAUGUAUGUGUUUUUACCUUGGUCUAUAUAUUGAUGUAUAUUUAUUGUGCAUAUUGUGAGAGAGCUUGGAAGUUGUUCAUGGAAUUUGUUUUCCAGACUUGUUGUAGAUGUUGGGUGUUUGUGACUUUCAUGUACCCUAUCACAUUUUCAUCUUUGUACACAUUUUUUCUUCUGCUUUUGAUGGAGAACAUGAGCACUGAAGGUGGAGAGAUGAAUUAUUCUGGAUGAAUCAAGGGGUGCCUCAGGAUGUAAUCUAAAAAUUAUAGCAUUAACUUGUUUUUUUUCUGUGUCCUUUUCCUCCAUGUUUUGAGUGAAACAUGUCCAUUCUCUUGAAUGGGGGCAUUGCAUCCUUGUUCUGGACAAACAUUAAUGAACACCCUUGUGCCUUUCUGUGCUAAAGGAAGGUUUCUUUGUUUGUUCAAUUCUUUGGCUGUGCAUCUGGGUGUGUGUCUGUACGCCUUUGUGUUUGCUCUGGAGUGCAGGUAUACAUGUUUGGAAGUUCCUAGUAACUGUUUGCUGUUAUUCUCAGCUGUUACAUAUAUGUAUGUUCAUUGGUUACUGAAGUUUCAAAAUAGCAUACGUAUGUUUUUUCCUCCCAGUUUUAAUUGUUACUCCAGUUUUCAAUUGACACAUUUGGAUGGAAGAAAGAAAUGAAUAAUUCAGAUAUAAUCAAAUUCGGUUUUACAUUCCUGUCUGAAGACUUUUGGGGUUGGGGGUGCUACUACUAUUUGCUUAACUACAUGAAAAGUAUUAGAACUGUCGCAGUUGAGACAUGUUUAGCUAUAGAGAAUCAACCUCUUGAUUGAUCCUGUUUAGAACAUAGUUUAUGACACAACAUCAAGAUAUGAUGAUUCUAAUCCAUCCCAUCUAAAAGCUUUGCUACUUAUUCUACCCUUUCCCACUUGCACUGUGUGCCUAUUUCUUUCUUUGCUUUAUUUCAGUUUUACUGGGCAUGUGUCCCUAUGGUCUUACAUUCAAAGAGAAACUGCAAUAUCAAAGUGGUUUAGCAUUUUUUGUUUCCUCUGUUUUAGGUGGGAGUUUUUUUUUUUUUUUGGUACUUGUCUAUUUACAAACUGAUUUACCGCAGAUUCAUUGUCAGUAAAUAAAUGGUACAGUCCUCUUUGCUUGAACAGGCCCGUGUAAUGGUGCCUAUCUUUGCUUCAUUACUAGCAAGAUUUGCACAUUACAAAGAGGACCCAUUGGCCUAUGUUUUGUUGUUUAUCUGUACUUGAAUGAUAAAAAUGAUGAUUUACAUUUGGCUUUGUUGCUUUUAGGUACUUUUGCAGCAAAUACUCUUAAGCCCUGUUCAAAGAUCAGCCUGCUAAAUCUGGGGGAUGAGGCAAGGCUUGAAAGUUUUCACUGAUGAACUUCAAAUCUACUUGUGGCAAAGGCAUGAUGGUAAAGGCAUGAUGGUAAGAGUAUUCCCCCACCACCCCAAUCCAAAAGUAAAUGAAAUCAGUUUCCACCACCCACACAUGCAUACACUGAUACACCUACAACAAUCACCUGCUUUCAUCAUCAUUAUGAACCUAACCAAAACCCAGCUUGUUUGUAAUCUGGCUGGACUCAGGUUUAACUUUAUUGUUUAGCAGGUUGGUGGAUCGAGUUUUAACUUUAAGCCCUGACUCGAUCAGACACACACUAAAAGACUUCCUUUCAAUCAUUGUAUCCCUUGCUUAAAAGACAAACACUAAAAGAAUGGAAGAA